AAAUUGAGAGGAUUUUGGAAGGAAAUUGAGAGUUUAAGAGAAUUUUGGAAGGAAAUUGAGAGGAUUUUGGAAUGAAAUUGAGAUAUGAUUUGUUUGUGAAAAAAAAGGGUGGGGGUUUUAUAGUUUUUUUUUUUACCGUUGGGGGGGCAACGGUCAAAUUUUUGACCGUUGGGGUACUGUUCACGUGCGGGGGACAUCGCGUCCACGUCAGCGCGACCUGCUGACGUGGACGCGAUGUCUUGACACGUACCCUGACAUCGCGCUGACGUGGACGCGAUUUCCCGAAAAAUGGACCAUUCCGGUAAAUAAUCAAAAAAUCGGCCCAUUUCGG
rnacentral:lncRNA from 1 species